rnacentral:lncRNA from 1 species
CCAAUCUGUUGGAGGACUGCAGAGGAGGCUACACGGAGGCUGCCAACAGUCUGCCCAGGGGCUGCAGGACCAGAGAACUAUGCCCAUUCCCGAGCUUCAUGGAAGCCAGGAGGAGGAGGAGCAGUGUGUACCUGCUUGCACUCUCUGGGAACAAGUGAGGGCAGCCAGAGCUGCCUCACAGAGUAUCAGAGAGGAAAGAGCUCUUUGAGAUCUCCCAUUUUAUGCACAAGAAAACGGAGGCCAGAAACAGGGGGCAUCACGCUGCUAAGAGGGACUGCGAACGCACAUUCCCAAAGGAUUGGAGGACACCUUGACCGUGCCAGUGUGAAGGGAAAGAUCUGCUGAAAAGCUGCGGAGGCUCUGGGAUUGGGGAGCAGCGGGUGAGCACCGAGGCCGCCCAUCUUCCGGCGAGAAGGAACGCUGAGGCAGCAGUCGCUGGCUACCCCGUCGGGUUGGGAGG